UGAGAAAUACUGAUUUUACAUAUUUAUGGGGUACAGUAUGGUGUUUUUGUACACAUAUACAUUGUGGAUUAUCAAGUCAAGCUAAUUAGCAUAUCCAUCACCUCAGCUCAUUUCUUUGUGGUGAGAACAUUUUAACCCCCUUCUUUUUGAAUCUUUGAAAUACACAUUAUCUACCAUCACUGCGCGUGCAGUGGAGCACCAGAGUCUCUUCUGUUGUCUGAGUGACACUUGACUGUUCACCAACCUCUCCCCUUGCCCGGUUCCUCUCCCUCCUUCCGGUCACCACCAUUUCUACUUUCUACUUCUAGGAAUUAACUGAACUCUUGAUAAUAUACUUAAACCUUCCUUUUAAAAGCUACAAUUCCUAUUGUGUUUUGACUCUCAAGAUUUUCUUACUUCAUCUCAGAGUCAGUGUGACCCAAGAUUGGAGUUUGCUUUCAUGCAGUGAACUGAAGAGUAAGAACGGGUUGGUAAGGCCUCUUGAGGGCCCCUUAACAGCAUCUUUAUUAGACUCCCAUAAGGGUGACUUCAUAGUGAAGGCCAAAGCAUAAGAUUGGUUGGCUUUCGCCACCAGAGUAGUUGAUAUAACCUCUGGCCCGUCACACGCCCUGGGUAAUGGGGCCUGGUAUUUCAAGCUCUCUUUGGGGACUGGGAAUAUAGCGGAAAGUCUUAGAGUGCUGUUCUGGGCAUGGCUUUGUGACUAACUAGCCUGCAACCUUAGUCCAGGAACCUAUUCUGUGACUCUUUUCUUACCUGUGGAAUAAUAGGCUAGGUGAGUUCUAAGUUUCACAAGUAUGCAAUGCAUUUUCUGUUUUUCAGAGUGAACUAAUACGAGAAACCAACUCUGUAGAUGACAAGGUUAAUGAAAAUCUUAGACAGAUUGAUUGAGGACAUUGCAGCAGCCACAGAGACGUGAAAGAGGACUGCUGGAACUGCUUCAGAAGGCAGCAAGACCCGCGGGAGAACUGUCUGAAGUGAGGGAGGAAUACUUUGCGGGUGAUUAGUGGCGGAGAUCCAGCCCAUACCUGCUGUGACUACGGCAAGACCAGAAGUCGCUGUCAGGCGGUGGCACCCUGCACCCUGUUCCCGUGAUCAGAGCACCCUUGAUUGUGAGGACCCCCCUGUCUGGGGGCUGGACGUGGCCCUCGCUGUGUGGUUGGCCCUGCUGGCCCUAGUAAAUCUUGGCGCCCAGAUGGGUGACAGCCAUCCUGAUGUUGCCAUGCUGUCCCUGGGCUGCAGAUGCAAAGCUGUGCCCUGUAGCUCAUCUCCACUGAGGGCCAUCAUGGAUGAGGGAGAGGAGGGGAGAGCAGUUGCUGCCUGAUGCAGCUGUCUCCUUUUGAAUCAGCCACCCCCAUUUCCCAGGUGCCAGAAUAACUUGCCGGGCUUAGAAUGCUCCCGUCUCUACCUCUCCCGCCCGUUGCAGCAUGGUCACAGCUUUCCAGCCAGUCUUUUGUUGUGGAAGCUCUAAAUCCACGGUAGGGAAAUUACCAAGAGACUCUUCCCCAGUCUGCCCUCCCUCCCCUUGCUCCAUUUCUUUCUUUCCUUCCUUUGUCUCCUUCCAUAGCUAGGGUCAGAAUCCCUAGCCAGACUGAGAACAUGGUUGCUAUUCCAGGACCCAGAUGCCAAUAUGUGGCAGCAUCUGGCUUAUUGGCAAGCGUUGCCCGCAGUUGUGCUGGCUGCUACUAGGCCUGUCAUGUGGCUGAGCCUGCUGACGGGGGCCCUGUCACAAAAUGCAGUUUCUUUGAGAAUCUGGUCUCAACCAAGGAGCCCACCAGCAAACAGUGAGCUGCGAGGAGAGGACAUGCGUUAGUGGGCGGGCGGCUACGGACCGCGCUUUGAUCCCACCCUUGACCUGUUUUGCAGAAUCCCCGUUUCAUGUCCGGGAACCGGCUCCUCGUGUCACUUUACCUUCUUGUGGUGUUGUUGUUUCAGGUGCCUUAAGGCAUGGAGCUCCUUGAAAGAGAAACACAAAUCACUAAAAAUGCUGAGAUAAAAUCCUGCUCCUCAGAGGCGCCUGUUUGGCACAGGGAGCGCAUGAUAACAGCUUGCUUUAGAAAGGUGACAUUUCUGCUGAAGGCUGAAUAAUAAAAAAUGCAUUUAAAAAACUCAGCCCUUGCUUGUCUUCUGAUGGUUGACUUUUGAAGUGAAGGCCACUUCUUCAGUGUGAAGGGUCCUUUUGGAGGCUGGCCCUCAACCAUGGGAACAUUAACUUUUGUCAUCAUUGACGAGGCUGAGGAGCAUUUUAAGUUAAUUGUCACAUAAUAGGGUUUUAACUGCUUUCCUCAAGGUGCAAACACCGGGUGCUCAGAAUGUGUCAAGCUUUCAUUGUCCACAACAUGGAAGGGCAGAGACAAGAUGAGGAACAAGGAUGCAGGUCAUUGGUGACCAGAACACAAAUGCUUCCAUUAUUUCAUUCUUCCCCGAAGUCUGUGAUCGACUGGGGCAGGAGAUGCUCUGGGUUUUACAGAUGGAGACGCUAAGGUCCCAAGAAGGUGACCAUGCCAGUUGGCACAGCAAGCUACUAAGCUGGCACUGGGAUGGUGGUGGUUGUGGCUCUACCUCACCGAGCACAGGUAUGUUGGAUUUUUUUGUUAUAAACUCCUAAGGGCAGGGACUGUGUCUUUGACCUUUUUCAGCUCUGCCCCGAUCAGUAACCUUUCCACACCCCUGGCACCCAGCCCACGUAUUUCUCUUUUGAAACACACACAGUACAUAUAAUACAGGGCUUCUUUGCAAAAUGGACACCCAUGACUCAGAAGGGGAAGGAGUCAAGGGGAAGCAAAAAUUAACUUGAAUUAAAAAAUAAUGGUCCUGGGAAGAAAGAGAUGAUAACAGCAUCCUGCCCACAUACAAAGUCCCAAAUAAAGAUGUACACAGCAACUAAAUAGCAGGGUCAAAAAUUUGUAGGCAACAUUUGCAAAAACAAAGCAAAAUGACCCUAAGGUAACAAGAUACCCUAAAUCCCAAAAUACAGGUAGUUGGAGAUGAAAUACCAGCAGCCAAAGAUUGCACGGUGCAUGAGAGACAAAAAGGAGCAAGUGUCAUUGCACGUUGGCCCUGGAAACAGGAGAACUCCCAAGUCACCAGGUGGCCUUUGCUGGGGAGCUGCUGGCGAAAGACACGUUCCCUGCCCUGGCACCUGGUGUGGGCAAAGAGCUCAGGAUAAGAGGGCUCAGGGGGGCUCUGGUCUUGGGGUUCUUGAAACUGACCUUCUGGAGCUGCCUUCUGGACCAGGGCCUCCCACCUAAGGAAGGAGAAACUGCUGGGAAUGAAAUCAAAAGUGAGCAGGACAGGGACAGGAAGAGGAAAGUCCAGAGCAAAUGAAGAGUAGUCAGAGAGGCAGCGAAAUGUCACAAUUUUUUUUUUUAAACAUUUCACAAAAACAACAGAAGAGGGAGCUCUGUGAAGUUAGAAACUUUAAAAAACAUUUAACCUGUUUAAUUCUCAUAGUUUAGGAAAACCAAUUUCACAUAAAAAUCCACAACAGAAAAAAAGUCAAUAUCAUGUCCUGUGCAAAGAUAAUAAAGAAUUAAGAAUGAAUAAUAUCAUACACACUGAAAGCAUUCUAAAGGACGUGCUUACAAAAACAUCAAAACUAGGGCUGGGGAUUUAGCU